rnacentral:lncRNA from 1 species
CUCGAUCGAUGGAUAGCAUUGCUAAGAUAGGGAUUGAUCGAUCAAGGUCGAUUGUUGAAUAGUUGCCGAAUGGACUGGAUCGAUAGGUAGCAUUACUAGGAUAGAGGUAUAUCUAUCAAGAUCAUUCGAUAACAAUUCAAAAUCGACCCCGCUGGUCCUCCCGACGCAUUUCGGGCCUCGCGGCGGGCGAGAGAAGGCUUAAUCACUGGAAAAUCACCGGGGAAAAGUAACGAACUGUUGUUUAAAAUGACGUUUCCAGGUCAUUUAAAAGUCUUCCGAGCCGUCUAGUAAACGGCGAUCAGCAUCGAUGGACCGAAAUGGAAAUCAGAAGACGACUCCUCCACCACCAUCAGAGAAGAGAGGGCCGGUGCGUCGCGCAGGAUAUAUUGCCGAUGAGCACAUUCACCUGUUCCAGCAGCAGAACGCAAAACGGACCAAGUCAAAACCAAUUGAGAACCUGGCGAAUCAGGUUAAUCGUGUCGGUGGUGUGCUCAAAAAAACAUUCAGUUCAGGAGGCGGGAGACUGCUGAGUUUCGGGAGGAAAAAGAAAAAGGCGCAGAAAAAUGACGCAGGCGCAUCAAUGGCACCGAGUGCGUCUUUCGUAUCUACUGGUGACGGGGAUGGAGUUGCUAGUGGUGAAACUGGAUCAUCCUACGCAGAAUCUAAUUAUAACGCGGCCCCGCCCCCGCCCCCCCUCCCGCCGACACCGCCCCGUCAGCCUAUCGCCGAGCAGAGAUCUCCUCCACCGGCUUUUAAACCCGAGCCUCUUCGCGGGUCCACACCACCUCCGUCACCGCCGCAACAAGUCACCUCCCGCCUGUCUCUCCUACGGGUUCAUCCCGUCAGAAAACGACACCUAGAGAGUCACCUCGUAACCAAGCGGCAUCUCACAGUGAUUCGUGGCAGCGAAGUUCUCCUGGGCACGGAGAGUCACUUCGACCUUCACCCGAGCGACAGAAGUCACCUGAGCGACAGAAGUCACCCGAGCGACAGAGGUCACCCCCACGAUCAGAACCUCCCCGAAAACCCGAAAAGGCGGUUGCCACUACUGAUCCAGGUCGUGUCUUGUCUGUACCGAAUCCGACUCGUCGUACAUUGUCAAAUCAAGGAACGCCGCCGAAAGAGCAAGGGAGAUGGCGAGCACCUUGGGUUGGAAAACCUAAAGAGGGCAAACCUGUACCACUCACAGGUGCGGAGGUAUGCGGGCUUGAUGGCAAUUGUAGCGUUGCGAUGCCGACGAUUCGAUGAAACUCCUUUUUGGGGGGCUUAUAAUGCUCCGGUCUCGAACAGCUCUCCUUCGAAACACGAAUAUUUUUCAGACGUUUUGUAAUUGUAUUGCGAAGAUUCGACCUUGUAUUUCAGCGAUAUUAUUUGACUUUGUAAUGAGUGAUAAUAUAUGAGUCCGUCUCAAUAACACUUGAGUAAAUUACUGAACAUUUCCGUUUCAAAGAAGACUGUUUAUAAUUACAAAUAAACUGCCGAAAGUGAAAAAAAAAAUUAUCCACCUUGCCAGAGAUUUAAUAAUUAACGCACGAACAACUGAUCACGACUGAUUUGAUUGAAAAUCCUAGAGAGGAGGGAAAUCUUGCCUAUAGGCUAUAGAAUUUUCUACACUCCAUUUUUUACAAAAAUAUCUUUCUGGAGUCAAUAUACUAUUUACACCGACAGAAUUACUUGGGAUCUUUCUGUCAGUGUAAAGUGUACCGUCCCGUAAUUUCGCUAUUUAUCUUGCAAUUAAUUUUAAUUUUAACUUGACAAAUUAAUGUGGUAUAAGUAACUUAAAAUUAUGAGUGUAUGUUCCGCUGUUAAAUAAAUGGUCCUAGUUAAAAGCUGAUGUUUCAUACCAUGUAGGAGGAAUGAGGGGAAACAAAACGGUGCGGAUAGACCUCGAUCGCGGCGUAUCAAACUUAAAUUAUUUUAUUCAUUCAAAGAAAAACUAUUUCAUUCUAUUGUGAAAAAUUUCAAAGAAUAUUCCCGUGUUAGCAUGUUUUUUAUUAUAGGACAAUUUUCCUGUUCGUUUUUCGCCCUGUGUUUUCUAAAGUGUAUAAACAACGUGCCACAUUUGAACUAAAGCGCCGAGACUAAGGUAACCAUAUUUUUAUAGACUGCUAUGGCCACGUGUUGCGUGCAGCUUAACUUUCCUCAUUCGUAAAACUAUAAACCCAAUUCUUCACAAUUAUUCACCAUCUUCCACGCGGAGAAUUCUUUUCGGGUUACACAGUGCACUUUUCUUUUUUUUUUUUUUUUUUUUUUUUUUUUUUUUGUGAACAGAUUUUUGUUGGUGUAUACAAGUUGGAACUGGGUGCACUUAGCAUUUUCAGUCAGUUUUAUUAAGACUGACAGUUUGAAACCGCAUAAACCGCACGACAGGUUCUUAUAAAUAAUGCCCGGAGCACCCUGCUCAGUUGAAUAGUGGAAGGGUAAAAACAAUGAUCCUGCGAUAUUAUGUGUGUUCAUAGAGAAAAUACAGAAGGUGGUGGCAAGCGGAGAAAUGUACUUUUCUACGUCACAGCUCAAAAUGAGGCUGCCCUUCUAAUUGGUUGGUGCGGUGCCGCGGGAAAACCGAGACCUCUUUGAAAUUUAAAAAGAUGCGGGAAAGGUUGUGGGGUUUCCACUUAUUUUGGCUCUAAAAUUCGUAGCUAUUGACUUUUUAUGUCUCAUUAUGUUUUUUUUACCAAUGUUCAACUGUAAUUGAAAAUAACUUAUAAGUUUAAAAUAUAUUUUUCAUAUAAUAACAACUUUAUCACAACCCGUCCCGUUUUGAAGGUAAAACCAUGUUAAAUUACAUCUUGGACAUAAAAAAAGCAGAAAUUGGAGAGUCAUGGUAACUAUAAUGUUCAAUUAUACUGAUUAAUGUGAAGAGAAUUCACAUACUAUGUGCCCAUAGCUGUAAGGAGCCGUUCGUAAAAGGCGUCAACGCUAUUUUUUCGAUUUGUUAACACCCUUGAACCCGUCCCCUCCAAGUCUUGCAGGUAUUUGGCAGGACAUGCUGAACCCUUUUAAAAGUACGUCGCCCUCCCCCGCCCACAAUCCCUGUGAAACAUCAAAAGCCUUUUUGUGCGGCUUGAGACAGCCCCCCCCCCCCAUCUUAGGGAUAGUAUAAGGCCGUUAGGCAACGUACUUCCCUUAAAUGGUAUCUCCACCUGUGGUGUUGCUUGAAAGUGAUGCAACGUCGGCUGAUAAUCUUUAUCUCUUUUCCCUCCA